rnacentral:tRNA from 1 species
UCCAUUGUGGUGUAGUUGGUAACAUACAAGCCUUUCACGUUUGUGCCCGGGUUCGAUUCCCGGCGAUGGAA